UACGAAGGGUGCAAGCGUUAAUCGGAAUUACUGGGCGUAAAGCGUGCGUAGGUGGUUUGCUAAGUCUGGUGUGAAAGCCCGGGGCUCAACCCCGGAAGUGCAUUGGAUACUGGGAGGCUGGAGUACCGGAGAGGAGGGUGGAAUUCCUGGUGUAGCGGUGAAAUGCGUAGAUAUCAGGAGGAACACCGGUGGCGAAGGCGGCCCUCUGGACGGAUACUGACGCUGAGACGCGAAAGCGUGGGGAGCAAACAGG
rnacentral:rRNA from 1 species